rnacentral:rRNA from 1 species
AGAGUUUGAUCCUGGCUCAGAACGAACGCUGGCGGCGUGCUUAACACAUGCAAGUCGAACGCGAACGAGUUCUUCGGAACUUUAGUAGAGUGGCGCACGGGUGAGUAACGCGUAAGUAAUCUACCCUCGCAUCUGGGAUAACCCACCGAAAGGUGUGCUAAUACCGGAUACGUCUAUGUUAAUAUCUUUUUUAUAGAGAAAGGUGGCCUCUGAUUCAAGCUACUGUGCGGGGAGGAGCUUGCGUACCAUUAGCUAGUUGGUAGGGUAACGGCCUACCAAGGCGACGAUGGUUAGCGGGUCUGAGAGGAUGAUCCGCCACACUGGAACUGAAACACGGACCAGACUCCUACGGGAGGCAGCAGUGAGGAAUAUUGCGCAAUGGGGGCAACCCUGACGCAGCGACGCCGCGUGGAUGAUGAAGGCCUUCGGGUUGUAAAAUCCUGUCAGAUGGGAAGAAGUGUGUAGUACUUAAUACGUGCUACAUUUGACGGUACCAUCAAAGGAAGCACCGGCUAACUCCGUGCCAGCAGCCGCGGUAAUACGGAGGGUGCAAGCGUUGUUCGGAAUUACUGGGCGUAAAGCGCGCGUAGGCGGCUAUAUAAGUCUGAUGUGAAAGCCCGCGGCUCAACCGUGGAAGUGCAUUUGAAACUGUAUAGCUUGAGUACUGGAGGGGGUAGUGGAAUUCCCGGUGUAGAGGUG